GGCUCUAUAGCUCAGUGGUAGAGCAUGCGAUUGCAGCAAUUGCUUACGUAAGAUAUCGCAGGGUCCCGUGUUCGAACCACGGUGGGGCCU
rfam:Ceriporiopsis subvermispora B unplaced genomic scaffold CERSTscaffold_20, whole genome shotgun sequence.